rnacentral:sRNA from 1 species
CCUUUGGAGUGUACUAGAACUUGUUAGUAGACUUUUGUAGUCAAAAGCAUACACGAUGAAUAAGGAA